rnacentral:tRNA from 1 species
GCGCUUGUAGCUCAGCAGGAUAGAGCGGCCGCCUCCUAAGCGGCAGGUCGGAGGUUCGAAUCCUCUCAGGCGUGCCA